rnacentral:rRNA from 1 species
GACGAACGCUGGCGGCGCGCCUAACACAUGCAAGUCGAACGAGCGAGAGAGAGCUUGCUUUCUUGAGCGAGUGGCGAACGGGUGAGUAACGCGUGAGGAACCUGCCUCAAAGAGGGGGACAACAGUUGGAAACGACUGCUAAUACCGCAUAAGCCCACGGUGCCGCAUGGCACAGAGGGAAAAGGAGCAAUCCGCUUUGAGAUGGCCUCGCGUCCGAUUAGCUAGUUGGUGAGGUAACGGCCCACCAAGGCGACGAUCGGUAGCCGGACUGAGAGGUUGAACGGCCACAUUGGGACUGGGACACGGCCCAGACUCCUACGGGAGGCAGCAGUGGGGAAUAUUGCACAAUGGGGGAAACCCUGAUGCAGCGACGCCGCGUGGAGGAAGAAGGUCUUCGGAUUGUAAACUCCUGUUGUUGGUGAAGAUAAUGACGGUACCCAACAAGGAAGUGACGGCUAACUACGUG